rnacentral:rRNA from 1 species
AACGCUGGCGGCGGCCUAACAAUGCAAGUCGAACGGUAACAUUUCUAGCUUGCUAGAAGAUGACGAGUGGCGGACGGGUGAGUAAUGCUUGGGAACUUGCCUUUGCGAGGGGGAUAACAGUUGGAAACGACUGCUAAUACCGCAUAAUGUCUUCGGACCAAACGGGGCUUCGGCUCCGGCGCAAAGAGAGGCCCAAGUGAGAUUAGCUAGUUGGUAAGGUAACGGCUUACCAAGGCGACGAUCUCUAGCUGUUCUGAGAGGAAGAUCAGCCACACUGGGACUGAGACACGGCCCAGACUCCUACGGGAGGCAGCAGUGGGGAAUAUUGCACAAUGGGGGAAACCCUGAUGCAGCCAUGCCGCGUGUGUGAAGAAGGCCUUCGGGUUGUAAAGCACUUUCAGUUGUGAGGAAAAGUUAGUAGUUAAUACCUGCUAGCCGUGACGUUAACAACAGAAGAAGCACCGGCUAACUCCGUGCCAGCAGCCGCGGUAAUACGGAGGGUGCGAGCGUUAAUCGGAAUUACUGGGCGUAAAGCGCACGCAGGCGGUUUGUUAAGCUAGAUGUGAAAGCCCCGGGCUCAAUCCGGGAUGGUCAUUUAGAACUGGCAGACUAAAGUCUUGGAGAGGGGAGUGGAAUUCCA